rnacentral:lncRNA from 1 species
GCCUAACCAUUGUUGGAGUAGUCUGGAAACUGUUGCUGAGGAAGUCUGGAAAUUGUGGCUGACCCAUUGUCCUUGCCUCCUACCAGCUGGUGGUGCAGCUUCUGAUGGUAGGGCAGUUUCUGACUGGCUGCCUGAGGUCUGGAGUUUUUUCAGUAACUGAAUUGCCCAGUUCUUGGAAACAGAGAUAUAGGCCUAGUCUCCUGAACUGCCAGUUUGAAGCCUGUUCUGGAUUCAGCCUGUCUCAGAGGAAAAUGAAGAAGGACACUUUCUGGAAGUUAUAUAUCACAUCUGCAGACAUCCCAAAAGCCAGACUCCAUUUACAUCUGGUUAAAGAAUGAUUACAGUGUUUAAAAGAUUGCUUCAAAUCCAUGCCUUCAAGAGGAUCACUAAUAAUGCAGAAUUUAAAUAUUAAAGAGGAGCAGACUAAAUUGUAUCUGAAAUACAGUUAUCAAUGAUGACAGCUUAGAAGCGAAGAGAAACUCUCAGU